UACGAAGGGGGCUAGCGUUGCUCGGAAUUACUGGGCGUAAAGGGCGCGUAGGCGGACAGUUUAGUCGGGGGUGAAAGCCCGGGGCUCAACCUCGGAAUUGCCUUCGAUACUGGCUGUCUUGAGUUCGGGAGAGGUGAGUGGAACUGCGAGUGUAGAGGUGAAAUUCGUAGAUAUUCGCAAGAACACCAGUGGCGAAGGCGGCUCACUGGCCCGAUACUGACGCUGAGGCACGAAAGCGUGGGGAGCAAACAGG
rnacentral:rRNA from 1 species